GCCUCGGUAGCUCAGUCGGGAGAGAAGUAGACUGAAAACCUACGUGUCGGUGGUUCGAUACCGCCCCGAGGCACCA
rnacentral:tRNA from 1 species